GGAACCUAGGUUAAAGAAACCAAAAGCCUUCAAAGCUUUAAAUAAGAGUGAAAACCUCUUGAUUUCUG
rnacentral:tRNA from 1 species